GCCAAACCUAGCCCUACACGACCUUCAACACAACUACCAAUACUACCAAAUAAAUCAAACCAUUAAUCCCUAUAAAAGUAUAUGUGAUAGAAAUUAUCAAUAGGCGCUAUAGAGAGAGUACCGCAAGGGAAAGAUGAAAGAAUAAUCCACAGCACAAAACAGCAAAGAUUCACCCUUUUACCUUUUGCAUAAUGAAUUAACUAGAAAAACCUUUGCAAAGAGAACUUUAGUUAAAAAUCCCGAACCCAGACGAGCUACCUGCAGACAGUACAAAGAACCAAUUCAUCUAUGUUGCAAAAUAGCGAAAAGAUCCGCAGGUAGAGGUGAAAAGCCAACCGAGCCUGGUGAUAGCUGGUUGUCCAGAAACUGAAUUUAAGUUCAACUUAAAAUUUGCUUAAAGAACACGACACUGAAUCCCAACGCAAAUUUUAAAUAUAGUCAACAGAGGUACAGCUCUGUUGACAAGGGAUGAGCCCCACCUAGAGAGUAACCUUCCUCACCUUCCUUCAUAGUAGGCUCAAAAGCAGCCACCAAUAAAGAAAGCGUUCAAGCUCGACAGUAACAACACCAAAAAUACCAGGACAAACCAUCAACUCCUAAAUCCCUACUGGACCAAUCUAUAAUAUAGAAGAGAUACUGUUAACAUUAGUAACAAGAAUAAAUUUCUCCACGCACAAGCUUAUAUCAGAACGGACCCACCACUGAUAGUUAACAGCUUAACUUUUCCACACCACCAAAUAUUCCCAAGUUACCAUUCACUGUUAACCCGACACAGGAGUGCAUACUGGAAAGAUUAAAAGAAGUAGAAGGAACUCGGCAAACAUAAAUCCCGCCUGUUUACCAAAAACAUCACCUCUAGCAUAACAACUAUUAGAGGCAUCGCCUGCCCAGUGACAUAUGUUCAACGGCCGCGGUACCCUGACCGUGCAAAGGUAGCAUAAUCAUUUGUUCUCUAAUUAAGGACUUGUAUGAAAGGCCCAACGAGGAUUUUACUGUCUCCUACCUCCAAUCAGUGAAAUUGACCUCCCCGUGAAGAGGCGGGGAUAGACCUAUAAGACGAGAAGACCCUAUGGAGCUUUAAUUAAUUGGCCUAACCACAACCCACAUAAACCAAUAGGCACAACUGCCCGUGACCUAGACCAACAAUUUCGGUUGGGGUGACCUCGGAGCAUAAAAAACCCUCCGAACGACUAUGCGCCCAGACCCCACCAGUCAACGCGCCAUAAUAUCAUUAAUUGACCCAAGCAAUUGAUCAACGGAACAAGUUACCCUAGGGAUAACAGCGCAAUCCUAUUUCAGAGUCCAUAUCGACAAUAGGGUUUACGACCUCGAUGUUGGAUCAGGACAUCCUAAUGGCGCAACCGCUAUUAAGGGUUCGUUUGUUCAACGAUUAAAGUCCUACGUGAUCUGAGUUCAGACCGGAGUAAUCCAGGUCGGUUUCUAUCUAUAAACUCCUUCUCCCAGUACGAAAGGACAAGAGAAGCAGGGCCCACUUUACAAAAGCGCUCUAAAGUUAAAUAGAUGAAUACAUCUAAACCUAGUCAAACCACAACAACCAACCCAAAACCAGGGUUU
rnacentral:rRNA from 1 species